AAUUCUUUCAAUUUUUUUUUUUUUUUUAAUUAAAAUAAUUAUCAAUGAUGAUAAAGUAAGUAAAUAAAAAUAAUAUGAGUAAUUCAAAAUGACAGAUGAAUAUUCUUCAGUAGCUGAAGUCUUACUAAACGACUAUGACUUUCGUUCAGAGUUUGUAAGCUGGAAACCUUCUACGAGAGUGAGCAGAAGAAGAAGAAGAAGAAGGUAUAAACCAAUGGAAAAAGAGAAAGAGAGAGAAAGAAAGGGAGAGAGAGAGAGAGGAUAUCCUAUCACACCACGAUACUAACUAACAAAGGAUAGUUGUAAAGCUACGCCCAGACGUCCUUGUCAGCUUAUACAAAUCGUACUUGAAGGUGGGGAUUCUUAACAGAGGCUAAAAAACGGCUCGAUUGAUCCUCAUCGAUAAAGACAAGGGUUGGGAACCCCAAGUGUCUCCUUUCUAUAGAUCGUUGAGCUUGCUGAAUUCCCUCGGUUGUACGGACGGCCCGGGGCCUUAACGAUAGACAAUACGGAUUCAGAAAGGGACUAUCGACGAUGGGCACGAUCAAAAGUAUCGUGGCUGCGUUCGACAGAGCACAGACUAAACCCCACAAAGGAAGGAAGGCCAGUAGUGCUCCUGACAACACUAGACGUACGAAACGUUUUUUACUCGGCGAGGUGGGCGAACAGCGUGCAGGUGUUCUCGAUAUCUGGAACGGACUUGUGAAUGGAUGCACGAACACGGACUGGAGUUAGCUGUACAUAAGACAGAACUACUCUACCUGACAAGGCGACGAAUAGACAUGACGGCUCCCAUGAUGGUGGGUGCGAACCAAUUGCUACCUACUGAUUUACUACUUUUUUUGCUACCUACGAAACUACUGAUGGUGGUUACCCACUCGAUCCUCCUCUACGGGGCCGAGAUAUGGGGGGACACGAUGCGGAUUAAGAAAUAUCGGCUAUAAGAUAUAUCAAAA